rnacentral:rRNA from 1 species
AUUGAACGCUGGCGGCAGGCCUAACACAUGCAAGUCGAACGGAAACAGGGAGCUGGCUGCUGGUUUCCGCAGCAGACGGGUGCGGGAUGCCUAGGAAUCGGCCUGGUCGUGGGGGAUGAGGACCACAACCGGGCGCUGAUACCACAUCCGUAUAGCGUCAGAAGGUGAGAGAUGGUGGGCUCUCGCGCUCUCAGAUUAGGCUAGGUCGGAUUAGCUAGUUGGUGGGGUAAAGGCCCACCUAGGCGACGAUCCGUAACUGGUCUGAGAGGAUGAGCAGUCACACUGGAACUGAGACACGGUCCAGACUCCUACGGGAGGCAGCAGUGGGGAAUAUUGGACAAUGGGCGCAAGCCUGAUGCAGCCAUGCCGCGUGUGUGAAGAAGGCCUUCGGAUUGUAAAGUACUUUAAGCGGGGAGGAAGGGAAUUAAGUUAAUACCUUGCCGUAUUGACGUUACCAACAGAAGAAGCACCGGCUAACUUCGUG